UCCUACGGGAGGCAGCAGUGAGGAAUAUUGGUCAAUGGUCGGGAGACUGAACCAGCCAAGCCGCGUGAGGGAGGAAGGUACAGAGUAUCGUAAACCUCUUUUGUCAGGGAACAAAGGCGGGGACGUGUCCCCGGUUGAGUGUACCUGAAGAAAAAGCAUCGGCUAACUCCGUGCCAGCAGCCGCGGUAAUACGGAGGAUGCGAGCGUUAUCCGGAUUUAUUGGGUUUAAAGGGAGCGCAGGCGGUUUGUUAAGUCAGCGGUCAAAGCCCGGGGCUCAACCCCGGC
rnacentral:rRNA from 1 species